rnacentral:rRNA from 1 species
GACGAACGCUGGCGGCGUGCUUAACACAUGCAAGUCGAACGAUGAAGAAGAGAAACGCGAACUUCGGUUCAAAUUUCACUUCGGAUUAGUGGCAGACGGGUGAGUAACGCGUGAGCAACCUACCUCUUACAAAGGGAUAGCCUCGGGAAACCGUGAUUAAUACCAUAUGACACAUUCAUAAGGCAUCUUAAGAAUGUUAAAGCUACGGCGGUAAGAGAUGGGCUCGCGUCCCAUUAGCUAGUUGGUGAGGUAACGGCCCACCAAGGCGACGAUGGGUAACCGGCCUGAGAGGGUGAACGGUCACCUUGGAACUGAGACACGGUCCAAACUCCUACGGGAGGCAGCAGUGGGGAAUAUUGCACAAUGGAGGGAACUCUGAUGCAGCGACGCCGCGUGAGCGAUGAAGGAAUUCGUUUCGUAAAGCUCUGUUCUAUGGGAAGAAAAGGACUGUACCAUAGGAGAAAGCCCCGGCUAAAUACGUG